CUGCAAAAACACACACACACGCCUACCACUACUAGUUUACUACACAAUUUUCAGAUUUGUCUUUUUCAUGGUUUUCAACUUCUCCAUAGUUUUUUAAAGAUCUUAAUGGCCUUUUUUCCCUUCUCCGACAGCGACACGCCACCAUCCACGGAUGAAGCUCUGCUGGAAUCCGGUGAAAUACCAUAACAUCACCAACAACCAGCCACCCACCUUUUCUUUUUCUCCAUAGCUCCGUUGAGGAGCUUCAAGCUCCGAUGAACCGGAGUAAUCACCACUACCACCGCGUCGUCCCUAUUCCCUUCUCCCUUUGGAUUGUUAUUGCUUAUCUAAAAAUAGUGUUUUCCACCACUAAUGCACAGAUCUGGAUGGAUCUUGGUUUUUGGUACGAAAGUCGUUCCAGCAACACCAUCAUUUGCCUUGACUUUCUUUAAUUACACCAUUUAUUUAGUUUAUCUAUGUUUAUUUUCUGAUUUGGUCGCAAUUAUGUUCUCCAGUGAUGCUAUUGCUUGAUUAAUGUUUUGUACAGGGGAUAUUAUACUCAAGUUGAUUUUUCUUUGCCAUGGUUUGGCCGAGAUUUGACCAAAAAAUAUUCUCUAAAGGUUAUCUCUUUUUACUAUUUUAUUUCAAUUGUGAUGAGUUUUAUAAUUUUACUUACUGCUCUUGCUCGUAAAUGCGUCUUCGCAAUUCCCUUGGACGAUUUUGUCCUUCACUUUUAUUUACACUAAAAAUGGACAUAGACUACACUAUAAUGGUCAAUGACAAUAUCUAUCUGUAUGAUUUUCGAGGCAACUCCCUAAUAAAAAUAGGAUUUUAUUUCUCAAGUUAAGUCAUUUUAAAUCGAAUAUCAAUACGUGUCAAUGAAAAAAUUUUCGUCGAUUUUUUAGUCCUCCACAAAUGAGCAAUAACAAAAUCUUUAUAUCAUCAGGAUAAAAUGAAAGUUUUAUGAUUCGUCUCUUGACAUGGCGAUUUGGGACAGUCGAUGAAUUGAGCAACCACUUCUUCACCAUGACAUAUCUAAAACUUAAUACAAGCCUACUCUUUAACAAAAAUUCUUUAUUACACAUACACACAUAUAUGCACACAGAUUUUUUAAUUUAUUUUGAUAAUUAUUUAAUUGUUACUAACUUUUCUACCAAGUGUUUAUACAUGUUCUUGGGGAUACUUUUCAAAAUGACAUUCAAAAUAGGAGUUUGAAUUGUAUGUUUGUAUUUUUAUAUAUAUUCUUACAAUUGUCCAAAUAUUAAUCAUAGUGAAAAUUUUACUUUUGAGGCGUUGGGGGUGUUUUUCACUUACUUAAUCCUCACCACACAUUUAAGACAAAACUAAGGGUCGUUAACUUUUACAUAAAAGAAUUAAAUCGACUUAGAUAUUUAAUCAAUUAAUUCACACUUUUACAUUUAAAAAUAUUGUAUAAUAUUUUCUUUUAAAAUAAGUCUUUAUUUUAUUUAAUCUUUCUCCUCAUGAUUUUUGUCAAGUAAAUAUAUUAUUUGAGAAUAUUUUUCCUUUAUAUAAUAUAGAAAAUACCUUUCUUUCAUUACGUAAAGUUCUUUUCAUUUAGAAAAAUAUUUUUCUCUUUCAUAUGCAUUCUAAUACAAUUUAGAAAAAUAUUUUUCUCUUUCAUAUGCAUUCUAAUACAAUUUAGAAAAAUAUUUUUCUCUUUCAUAUGCAUUCUAAUACAAUUUAGAAAGAUAUUUUUCUCUUUCAUAUGCAUUCUAAUACAAUUUUUAUAUACCGCAUAUUUCUAUACACACAUUUUAUGAUAAUGUAUUUUACUUAUCUAAUAAAUAAACUUUUUAUAUUAUCCUUAAUUCAUAUUUUCUAUAUUCAUAGUUUAAAAAGAAAAUUUACCUCCUCCUUCAUUUGAUAAAUUAAGUCUAAUUGGGUACCACAUUUGUGAAUUUUGAAAGAUGUCUAACCCCUUUCGUUCAAAAUAAUUGAACCCUUAUUUAAAAUCUAAAUUGGUUUUCGUAGAUUAAAACAUAAGUCAUAGAUGUCAAUAAUUAAAUAGAUUUCCUGAUUUUUUUCUUAAAAAUUAGGUGGCGACUUUGUAUAAAAAUUAGCUUUUUUAGAGUCCAUAAGUUGAGCUUUAUUUCAACCUUGGUAAAAAUAGGACAUUACAGAAUGACGACGCUAUUGGGAACUAAAACCAGGUUCUAACCAUAAUAGACUAAAUUUGUCAAUUAAGGAAGGUACUUUUAUCUUUUUCAUAUACUAAUUAUUUAGUUCAUUGGUUCUUUAUUUGUUUCACAUACUACAAAUUAUGUGAAUUAUCUGUGUUUUGUUCGUAAAUUCUUUAGAUUUUGACACGUAGAUUUAUGGUAUUAUAUAUAUAAAUUCCUUGAUUCAUUAUUUUUUUAAUACAUUGAAUCUGUCUACAUUCUGGAA
rnacentral:lncRNA from 1 species